CCUACGGGAGGCAGCAGUGGGGAAUAUUGCACAAUGGGGGAAACCCUGAUGCAGCGACGCCGCGUGAGCGAUGAAGUAUUUCGGUAUGUAAAGCUCUAUCAGCAGGGAAGAAAAUGACGGUACCUGACUAAGAAGACGCGGCUAACUACGUGCCAGCAGCCGCGGUAAUACGUAGGGGGCAAGCGUUAUCCGGAGUUACUGGGUGUAAAGGGAGCGUAGACGGCUUGGCAAGCCAGAUGUGCAAGGCUGGGGCUCAACCCCCGGACGGCCUUUGGAACUGGCAUGCUCGAGUGUCGGAGAGGUCGGCGUCCUUCCUCGUGUAGCGGUGAAAUGCUUCGAUAUUAGGCGGACCACCAGUGGCGACGGCGGCCUGCUGGACGAUGCCUGACGUUGCGGCUCGAACGCGUGGGGAGCACACAGGAUUAGAUACCCUAGUAGUC
rnacentral:rRNA from 1 species